AUGCUCAAUCUGGCAGCACACAUACUAAAAUUGGAACAAUACAGAGAAGAUUAGCAGGGGCCCUGUGCAAGGAUGACACGCAAAUUCGUAAAGUGUUGUGUGUGUGU
ensembl:snRNA U6 U6 spliceosomal RNA